AUCUUAUCAAGAGCAGGUGGAGGGACUGGCCCUAUGAAACCCGGCAACCGACUUAUUCAAGUAAGCACGGUGCUAAAUCUUGCAGCAAAAUGCUGAUAGAUAAGAG
rnacentral:ncRNA from 2 species